rnacentral:rRNA from 1 species
CCUACGGGAGGCUGCAGUGAGGAAUAUUGGUCAAUGGGCGCGAGCCUGAACCAGCCAAGUAGCGUGAAGGAUGACUGCCCUACGGGUUGUAAACUUCUUUUAUAAAGGAAUAAAGUGAGGCACGUGUGCCUUUUUGUAUGUACUUUAUGAAUAAGGAUCGGCUAACUCCGUGCCAGCAGCCGCGGUAAUACGGAGGAUCCGAGCGUUAUCCGGAUUUAUUGGGUUUAAAGGGAGCGUAGAUGGGUUGUUAAGUCAGUUGUGAAAGUUUGCGGCUCAACCGUAAAAUUGCAAUUGAUAAUGGCAGUCUUGAGUACAGUUGAGGUAGGCGGAAUUCGUGGUGUAGCGGUGAAAUGCUUAGAUAUCACGAAGAACUCCGAUUGCGAAGGCAGCCUACUAAACUGUGACUGACAUUGAUGCUCGAAAGUGUGGGUAUCAAACAGGAUUAGAUACCCUAGUAGUC